AUCUCUCUCUCGAGUCUCGCCUCUCUCUCUCGUCUUCUCUCGCCUCCUCUCUGCUUCUCGUCUCUUGCGCGGCGGCGGUCGGGCGGCAUCCCGGCAGAGGCGACGUAAGCGGCGGUGAGAUGGGAAGCUGCGGGCGGCGGCGGCGCCCUCCCCUCCGCCGGAUCCGGCGGGAGGGGAGGCGGGAGUCAGGAGGCGGGAGGCGGGGGCGACGGGUUGCGGCGGCGCAUUCGGCGGUGACGGCGUGGGAUCCGGCGGCAGCGGUGGUUUCCGCUGUGGAUCCGGCACCAGCGGCCGGCGGCGUGAAGCAGGCGGCGAGCUCCUCCCUCUGAUGGCGCCGCAGCUGCAGGGUUGGGCGCCUCCGCCGCCGAGGUGGACAGCGAGAGGAAGACGAUGGUGCGGGUGCAUCUCGUCGGAUGGGAGGUGGACUGCCUGUUGCAAUUUUCAAGCUCAUCGACGACAUCGUCAUCCCCUACAUCGAGCAGGUUGGUGGAUGUUCCUGGAAAAAAUUGGGACUUAAGAUACAAAGUCUAAUUGCAGACUACAUUUUCCUUUGAAUUUUUUUGGUCGAUUUUUCUGGACCAAAUACUUAUGUUCUGUGAAUUUUCCUUUUUGUCAAUUUUGAUUCUAAAAUAUAGUUGGAUGGUGGAUCUUUCAUGGAUUUAGGGAUUGUGAUGUAAUGAAUUUUUGAUGGAUAUUAUCCGCUCUAC
rnacentral:sRNA from 1 species